CGGAGGCUUAAAAGGGAGUCAGGGUCCACAUCACUGCCCCAUCAUUGCAGGGACGUGGAGCUGGUGGGAUCACACCAUGGCCUGGGUCCCUCUCCUCCUCGCGGUGCUCGCCCACACCUCAGGUUCCCUGGUCCAGGCAGCGCUGACUCAGCCGCCCUCAUUGUCUCACAAGGUGGGAGACACCGUCAAGAUCCCCUGCUCUGGGAGCAGCUACAACUGGUAUGGCUGGUACCAGCAGAAGGUCCCUGGCAGUGCCCUUGUCACUGUGAUCUAUGCUAAUAGCAACAGACCCUUGAACAUACCUUCGCGAUUCUCUGGAUCCUUGUUGGACUCCAAGGCCACAUUAACCAUCACUGGGGUCCAAGCCGAGGACGAGGCUGUCUAUUUCUGUAGUGGCUGGGAGAGCAGCAGUGGUCGUUUUAUAUUCGGGGCUGGGACCCGUGUGACCAUCAAAGGUGAGUAG